AAUCACACUUAAUCAUAGUGAAUGUAAACAGUUUAUAUUUCCCAUCCUGCAUCGCUCUCUGGGCGCUUUAUUUCAUUGGUCAAUUUCCCGAGGCGCCAUUUUUGGAGGAUCGAGAAGGACGAAGAAGAAGGUGUAAGCAGCUGGUAAAUGUGAAAAGUUAAGAUGGUUUCACCACCCAGUGUCUUUAAGACUGUGAUAAAUGCAAUGGCCAACGAUGAAGGAUUAGUAGAGAAGAAAACUGUGUGACGUUAAAAGAAAACCAGUGAGAUAAAAUCAUAGAAAAUGUAUGAUGAUUCAGGAUGUGGUCAUUUGUGACAUUAAAACAGGAAUUGUCAUCACCAAUAGACGAAUUUCACAUUCCUAAGAGUUUUCUCCAAUUGUCGGCGUAUCGCUCAUUUUUCCCACUUUGUCCUUUAUCAUAGGUGAUGUGAAGAAAACCAGGAAACUGAUGUUGAAAGAAGUACUUAAUGACCCUUAUGAAUGGACUUAAAUGUGAAAGACUGUUCCAUUGUU